ACCUCGGCAACGCCACUAUGAUGAUGCUGGGUCCUAGUGGAGGUUACAGGGAUGCUGCUGAAGCCUAUGGAGGGUACGGUCCAAUGCGAAACUACGGCAGGCUUUAUGGGAGCCUGGAUUUUGAUGAUUAUGGUUAUGUGCCACCGGGAGCAGCAGGCCUUCAAGAAUGGAUUGGAGGUAACAGGCCCUAUUAGCGCUCAGUGCUGGGACCUGCAACUCGUGGAAUCUGAAUGUGGGCCGCUCAGUUUGUGUAGAAAUUCCAGGUAGAUCUUUAAUUGGGACAACUUUUUCUGGGACUAUUUAUUCGGUGAUGUACUAAGCUGGAAUCGAGUCAGCCGGAGUGGUAUCACUGAAAUUAAACUAGUUUCCUGGUGUUUCCCUUCUACAUGUAGACGGAAUUGGAUGUGCGUGUACUGCUCCCGACCCUUUGUACUUGCAAGUUCCUUACGAAUUUUUCAAAAUUUGUCCAAAACCAUUCCUCCAUUCUGAUCA